rnacentral:lncRNA from 1 species
UUGUUGUUUUUGUUUUGUUGUUUCUUGUCUAUUCCGUAGCAUAUAAGGAAUUUGCAUGUCAUUCUUGUUUAGGGGCCGUUCUAACUAUUGCCGUUCUAACUAUCACUGUUGCUCCUGUUUUAGUGUUAAGUGUUGAAGUGCUGCUGAAGGAGUGCAGGGUGCUUGAAAAACUUAGUAACGACAACAACAGCAACAGCAACAGUAGCAACAACAACAAAGCAAGCACUGUUUCCACAGACAUGGACUAGGAACAUUGUUCUGAGUGGUAAGCCAUGCUCCUAUCUCUCUAUGGAAGUCAGGAGUCCUUCUUCCGGAGGGUAGCUCUAGUAAUUACUCCUCCUCUUCCUCCAACCCCUACCCUUUUCCUCAGGCUGCUGGCCCAGCUUCCCCAAGUCCAGCCUGAGCCUCCCUGGGCUACUUUAGACUUGGCACCAGAGAAUGGAGGUUUUUCAGGUGAUUCAGAAACUUCUCCUGGGGUGGGGUGGGGACUUUCAAGGAGCCCAAAACAAUGCUCGAAUGCAUUUCUUUUUUCAGAGAACUACUUGACAAGAUUCAAGAAGCACUUACAGUCUUAGAAGCCAGGGGUAAGGGCAUGCUGGGGUGUGGGGACAGGAAUACUGUACCUUGUGUCUUCUAUAACUUCGUCUAUUAGCUUCAGCCACAGCUCUGCCAACUGGUUUGUGGGAAUUUUACCUUGGAUUCCUGAUUUU